rnacentral:lncRNA from 12 species
AUCUUCUCUGCCCUCUCUGCCUCCUCUUUAGGUAUCAUGAGAGAGGGUGGGGUAAUGUAAACAGCGUGAACUUUGAAGUCAGACCAACCUGAGUUCAAAUUCCAGCUUGGCCACUUACUACCUGAGUGACCUGGGAAUGUUACAUAACGCUCAGUGCUUCGAGUUUUUCAUCUAAGCCAUGCAGAGAUUACCUCCUCCUUCAGCACAUUAGUGGAGAAAAAACCCCACAGCCUGGCACCCUGAAGGUCCCCACUCAGCACCUGCUCUUCCACCUUCCCCUCCACUGCCUCUCCCUCCAGGACACAUGGGGUCAGCCGUCAAGAGGUGAAAUGAAAGCUGCUUGAGUCAAUGCUGGGACUCCUCUCUGUUCCAUUGAACUGUUUCCAUCUUAUAUCCAGAGAGUUUCUGUGCUGAGGUGAAGUUCAGUUGUGUUUACAUUGGGCAUGAUGGUUUAACAGCUCCUCUAAAGACAAAAGAGGGUCUCAAGAGACUGCUUUCGGUACGCUGGAGGUGGGGGUUGAUUAAGGAUUUGCUGGUCUCAGUUUAUAGCAUGCUUUCUGCAACAACAGUUGGAAAGGAAAACAAACACAACCGUCUCUGCUUUGCCGGAUGGAGUCACUAGGGAUAUUCACAUGAGCAUCAGCCAUAUUGGAAGACAGCGGUUACGUGCAUUUCUGUUCUUUGCAAACCCACUGGUGGCUGGCACAGUCUAAGAGAGAGCACAAUACCGUCUUCAGUGUAAGCAAAGCCCACUCACAUAUUACCAAGUGUUAGGGCAGAUGAAAUGAUAGAUCACUUUCGGUCCUUUUAACCAGGGACUUUUCAUUACAGAAUGUUUAACGAUUUCUGUGGUCUUUCCUGGCCUGGUGGGGGGCAGAGAAGGGGAGCCCCAUAAUAAUCAUUACUCAAAAGCCUGAAGUUCUCCUUUUCUUUCUCUCUUUCUUUAAGAGAUAUCCAGGCCUAGGCCUUUCUUCACAGAGAUAAAGACAGAGGAGGGGCAGCCCGGGUGGCUCAGUGGUUUGGCGCUGCCUUUGGCCCAGGGUGUGAUCCUGGAGACCAGGGAUUGAGUUCCGCAUCAGGCUCCCUGCAUGGAGCCUACUUCUCCCUCUGUCUGUAUCUCUCAUGAAUAAAUAAAUAAAAUCUUAAAAAAAAAAGGCA